rnacentral:misc_RNA from 1 species
GGAUCCCUACUGCAUGGGGGCAGCAUGGAAUUGCAGGAAAACAGUUGAGAUCAGGGGGGCAGGGUUUCCCCUCUGAGCCUAAGACACUGCAUUUGCAUACUUACAGGGCUAGGUCUGGAAAAUCCAUGUCAACUUGACCUGAAAUGUGGUUGGCAAUGAUGUACAGUGUGUUGGCUGACUACUACCUAUGUUGUGGUUGAGUUUGUGGGGACUUGGUGGACGAAAAAUUUGGACGCGAUAUAGUGGACACCUACUUUCACGCCUCGCGGUUUCCUUGCAUAACAUGUGCAAACAAACACGCUUUCCUACCAUAUGAAGGGAAAGCCGAAAGAGCAUUCAACACAAAUCAGUCCAGGCUCGUUUGUGAUGUUUGGUUGAGUACGGCGACUACUUUUAUAAUGUUCUUUUUUGAGGUUGACCGCGGGGACUGGCUCAAUGCCUCCUCGUCCAGUAGGCCUCAAACUGUGGGAGCGCUGGCUGAUCUUGGACCGAGUUAUGGAUACACCUGUCUAGCAGGUCAAUGCUGACUUGGAAUAGGUUCUGGCCAGGCAGUUAUGGGAGUCCGUCUGACGGCGUUCCAUGGCCUAUUCAAAGCCAAGCACCUUUGGUGCUUGCGGUGAGGAAGGAUGUGCAUUACUUGCUGAUAGCUAAACCUGUUGCAAUUAAUCACUAGGGAAUCCGCUGCGGCUGGGCUUCGUCUGAACUGAUGCGGCCGGCUGUUGGUAGUUCUCUCUGAAGACCAUGAUCUUUGUUGUUUCAAUGCGACAAGGAGAAAUGUGUCUAAAAUUUGUGAGAUCGGGGAACAAGGUGGCACGACUGUUGGCCUUCAGAUCGUUACUACGCAGCAAUGACGGAACACUCUCUGAAGUUCAGAUCGUUAAUACGCAGCAAUGACGGAACACUUUCUGAAGUUUAGAUCGUUACUACGCCACAAUGGCGGAACACUUUCUGAAGGUUACUUGUCGAGUCUUUUGACCACUUAAUGAACUCCAGAACGAGAAAGCGACUCUGAUUGUCGUGAUUAUUGUCGUACGGAAAGUAGU